rnacentral:rRNA from 1 species
CGAGCGAAUGUGAUUCGAGAGCUUGCUCUCAUGAAGUUAGCGGCGGACGGGUGAGUAACACGUGGGUAACCUGCCCAUAAGACUGGGAUAACUCCGGGAAACCGGGGCUAAUACCGGAUAACAUUUUGAACUGCAUGGUUCGAAAUUGAAAGGCGGCUUCGGCUGUCACUUAUGGAUGGACCCGCGUCGCAUUAGCUAGUUGGUGAGGUAACGGCUCACCAAGGCAACGAUGCGUAGCCGACCUGAGAGGGUGAUCGGCCACACUGGGACUGAGACACGGCCCAGACUCCUACGGGAGGCAGCAGUAGGGAAUCUUCCGCAAUGGACGAAAGUCUGACGGAGCAACGCCGCGUGAGUGAUGAAGGCUUUCGGGUCGUAAAACUCUGUUGUUAGGGAAGAACAAGUGCUAGUUGAAUAAGCUGGCACCUUGACGGUACCUAACCAGAAAGCCACGGCUAACUACGUGCCAACAGCCGCGGUAAUACGUAGGUGGCAAGCGUUAUCCGGAAUUAUUGGGCGUAAAGCGCGCGCAGGUGGUUUCUUAAGUCUGAUGUGAAAGCCCAC